CAGGUCCCCUGCCUUGAUGGAUUAUACCCUUGAGCCCAACCUGACGGUGACGUCCGACUACUACUAUCCUGACACCUUCUCGAGCCCCUGCGAUGGGGAACUUAUCCAGAGAGACAGCAAGUUGCUUCUUGCCAUCAUCUACUGCUUCCUGUUUGUAUUUGGCCUUCUGGGAAACAGCCUGGUUAUCCUGGUCCUUGUGGUCUGCAAGAAGCUGAGGAGCAUCACGGACAUAUACCUCUUGAACUUGGCCUUGUCUGACCUGCUUUUUGUCUUUUCCUUCCCCUUUCAGACCCACUAUCAGCUGGAUCAGUGGGUAUUUGGGACCGUCAUGUGCAAAGUGUUCUCUGGUUUUUAUUACAUUGGCUUCUUCAGCAGCAUGUUCUUCAUCACCCUCAUGAGCAUGGACAGGUACCUGGCUGUUGUCCACGCCGUGUAUGCCAUAAAGGUGAGGACGGUCAGGACGGGCACAGUCCUGAGCCUGGCAGUGUGGCUGAUCACCAUGAUCGCCACUGGCCCAUUGCUAGUAUUUUACCAGGUGGCCUCUGAAGAUGGUGUUCUCCAGUGUUAUUCAUUUUACAAUCAACAGACAUUGAAGUGGAAGAUCUUCAUCCACUUUGAAAUAAACAUCUUAGGCUUGUUGAUCCCAUUCGCCAUCCUCCUGUUCUGCUAUGCCAGGAUCCUGCACCAGCUAAAGACUUGCCAAAACCACAACAAGACCAAGGCCAUCAAGUUGGUGCUUAUUGUGGUCGUUGCAUCUUUACUCUUCUGGGUCCCAUUCAACGUGGUCCUCUUCCUCACGUCCCUGCACGACAUGCACGUCUUGGAUGGGUGCAUCCUGAACCAGCAGCUGAUUUAUGCCACCCAUGUCACAGAAACCAUUUCCUUCACUCACUGCUGUGUGAACCCUGUUAUCUAUGCUUUCAUGGGUGAGAAGUUCAAGAAAUGCCUCUCAGAAAUAUUUCAGAAAAUUUUCAGCUACAUUUUCCCCUCCAUGGGAAGACAGAUGCCCAGGGAGGGGUGGGAAAGGCGGUCAUCUUCCCACCCUAUGGCCUCCCGCUCCUCCAGCAUAGACUACAUUUUGUAAGGGGGGGGCGUGCCUCCAAGUGUCCUCUGCCUUCAUUGCCACUUUUCUCUAAAGAAAUAAAAAUGACUUCCGUGGGGGCUGUGAAGCCAUGUAGGAAAACUCUUAGGAACUUUGGUUUAAGAUACAGACAUAUUUUAUAUAUUUAAUCCAUUCCUACUAUUGCAAGUUAAUCUCAACUUUCAAAAACAUUGGUACUAUUCUGGAAAUAUUCUACAUAUUCCACUUUUUUUAUUUUUUAGCUUUAGGAGGAUGCAAUAUCUUUAUUUUAUGUUUAUGUGGUGCUGAGGAUUGAACCCAGUGCCUCAUGCAUGCUAGGAGGGCACUCUACUGCUAAGCCACAACCCCAGCCCCUCGACUACUAAUUUUAAUGCUAGCAGUAGGGUAUUUUUUUAAAAAAAAUAUUCUUAAUCCGGUGCAGUGGUGCACACCUGUAAUCCCAGCUACUUAGGAGACUGAGGCAGGAGGGUCACAAGUUUGAGGCCAGCCUCAGCAACUUAGCAAGAACUUGUCUCAAGAGACAAAACAAACCAACGCCUUCCACAAAACCAAACCAUAAUCUUGAUAUUGAAGAACUUCUAUUCUUGCUUCUUUGAUGUCUUUAUUAGGCACAAAUUUAAAUGUUAUCAAAUCCCUUUUUCUUAUCUAUUGAUGUAACCAUAUAAUUUUCCACCACUGUUAAUUUGGUUUAUUACACUGAUUUUAGUAUCUUAAGUCAACCUACAUUUUUCCUGAAAAAUUAAAAAUGACCCUUUGGUCUUGGGAUUCUUAUAUCUGUGUUCAUUAGUCUUGAAGUUUCCUUUCUUUUCAUGACCUGGUCAUAUUUGGCCUCUUAAAAUGUAUUGGGAAGUAUGCCCCUUUUCUCCAGUUUCUGAAACACUUUGUGUACAAAUUUGAUAUGAUGUCCUCCUUGAAUGUUUGGUAGAAUUCACCAAUGAAUUUAUCUGGGGUUCCUCUCCAGGAGAAUUUCAAAUUAUGCACACAUGUUCGGUGACAGUCUAUUCAGUUUCCCCUCCCUUCCUUCUCUUUUUUCUAUCACCAGCCCUUUCCAUUUUUAUAUCGUGAGACAGGGUCUUACCAAGAUUCCAAGGCUGGCCUUGAACUUGCAAUCCUCUUGACUCCUUCUCCCAAGUUGCUGAGAUUACAGGCAUGCCUGGAUAGACUAUUCAGAUUUUCUAGUUUUGCUUGUCUCAGUUUUGAAAAGUUGUGAUUUCAUUUUAUUUGUCAAGUCUACUAGCAUUAUACUGUCCUUAAUAUUUUCUCAUUACCUUUUAAAUACAUGAGGAGCUAAGUAAUGUCCCUUUUCAGCCCUGACACUGACAACUAGUGUUCUCUUUCUCUUUUAGAUCAGUCUUUGGGGCUUAUCAGUUGUAUUAAUCGUUUAAAAGAACCAGCUUUGGCUUUGUUGGUUUCCUGCCUCAUCUGUUCAUUGAUUUCUGCUCUUAUCUUCAUCUUUUUUGCUUUCUUUGAGCUUAAUUUACUGUUUUAUAUUAGUUUCUUGAAAUAAAACCUUCCAUCAUUAAUUGCCAAUUGUUGUUCAUAUAUUUAAAUCUACAAGCUGAGUGCAGUGGUGCAUGCCUAUAAUCCCAGCGGUCUGGGAGGUUGAGGCAGGAGGAUUGUGAGUCAGUCUCAGCAACUUAGUGAGGCCCUAAGCAAUUCUGUUUCUAAAUAAAAUUUAAAAGGGGCUGGGGAUGUUGUUCAGUGGUAAAACACUCCUGGGUUCAAUACCCAAUACAACAACAACAAAAAAUCUACAAAAUUCCCUUAAAGCACUGCCUUAGGUGUAUCGUGUACAUUUUAAUGUAAUAGAUCUUCAUUAUUUUUUCAGUUUAAAUUAUUUUCUAUUUUCCAUUAUGUUCUCCUGCUUAUAAUCAUGAGUUACUUAGAAAUUAAUUUUAAAUUUUGAAACAUAUGCAGACUCUAUAUAUGUGUACACUUUCAGUUAUUUGAAAUUUGUUGAGAAUUAUUUUAUGAUGCAAGAUUUGGUUUGUUUCAAUAAGUGUUGCAUUACACUUAAAAAGAAUGGCCAUAGUAGGGAGGGAAAGGGGGUCAUGAACUGAAAUCAAUUUCCAUGCAUGUAUGAGUUUAUUGGGACGAAACCAACUACUAUGUUUAAAUAUAAAGCUCUGAGGGAAAAAAGAAAGAAAAAGAAUGGUUGUAUUCUGAAGUUGUUGUCCAUAGCUGAUUAAUUAGAUUGUUCAAGACUUCUAUACUCUUGCAGGCUUUUUCUUUUGCUUACUCUGUGAGUAACUAAGAG
rnacentral:lncRNA from 1 species